UAGGAUGUUAGUGUCAGUGCAUCCAGCCA
rnacentral:piRNA from 1 species